UCGCUACUACCGAUUGGAUGGUUUAGUGAGGCCCUCGGAUCGGCCCCACCGGGGUCGGCCCACAGCCCUGGCGGAGCGCUGAGAAGACUGUCGAACUUGACUAUCUAGAGGAAGUAAAAAU
rnacentral:ncRNA from 1 species